GAUGCCCCUAGAGGCGUUGCAGCGUGGCCACCCUGCCACAGCUGUGUCAUCCAUCAGAGGGCAGAGAGAAGAGGAACCAUGGCUAACCUCAGGGGUCUGACGUGACCACCUGACUGACUGCUAGCCCUACAGU
ensembl:snoRNA